rnacentral:rRNA from 2 species
AAGCACCGGCUAACUACGUGCCAGCAGCCGCGGUAAUACGUAGGGUGCGAGCGUUAAUCGGAAUUACUGGGCGUAAAGCGAGCGCAGACGGUUACUUAAGCAGGAUGUGAAAUCCCCGGGCUCAACCUGGGAACUGCGUUCUGAACUGGGUGACUAGAGUGUGUCAGAGGGAGGUAGAAUUCCACGUGUAGCAGUGAAAUGCGUAGAGAUGUGGAGGAAUACCGAUGGCGAAGGCAGCCUCCUGGGAUAACACUGACGUUCAUGCUCGAAAGCGUGGGUAGCAAACAGGAUUAGAUACCCUGGUAGUCCACGCCCUAAACGAUGUCAAUUAGCUGUUGGGCAACUUGAUUGCUUAGUAGCGUAGCUAACGCGUGAAAUUGACCGCCUGGGGAGUACGGUCGCAAGAUUAAAACUCAAAGGAAUUGACGGGGACCCGCACAAGCGGUGGAUGAUGUGGAUUAAUUCGAUGCAACGCGAAGAACCUUACCUGGUCUUGACAUGUACGGAAUCCUCCAGAGACGGAGGAGUGCCUUCGGGAACCGUAACACAGGUGCUGCAUGGCUGUCGUCAGCUCGUGUCGUGAGAUGUUGGGUUAAGUCCCGCAACGAGCGCAACCCUUGUCAUUAGUUGCCAUCAUUUAGUUGGGCACUCUAAUGAGACUGCCGGUGACAAGCCGGAGGAAGGUGGGGAUGACGUCAAGUCCUCAUGGCCCUUAUGACCAGGGCUUCACACGUCAUACAAUGGUCGGUACAGAGGGUAGCCAAGCCGCGAGGUGGAGCCAAUCUCACAAAACCGAUCGUAGUCCGGAUUGCACUCUGCAACUCGAGUGCAUGAAGUCGGAAUCGCUAGUAAUCGCAGGUCAGCAUACUGCGGUGAAUACGUUCCCGGGUCUUGUACACACCGCCCGUCACACCAUGGGAGUGGGGGAUACCAGAAGUAGGUAGGGUAACCGCAAGGAGCCCGCUUACCACGGUAUGCUUCAUGACUGGGGUGAAGUCGUAACAAGGUAGCCGUAGGGGAACCUGCGGCUG